GAACAGACUUCCCGCUGCCGAUGUGGGUUACAUGGUGAUGACCACAGUCAAGAAAAGGCAAACCAGAGCUCAGAAAAAAGCACUCGAGUAUUAGUUAAGAAACAAUCUAGUCUGCUAUAAUAAGAAACCCACAAUGCAAUGACUUAAAUAAGGAAGAAAUUCAUAUCAUUCUCAUGGAACAAUCUGAGGAGCCCUGAAUGUCAAGAAGCUCAGCUAUGCUGGGACUGAGGCUCCUUCCUUCUCAAUAUCUGAAAUUCUGAAGGCAAUACUCUUGUCCUAAAGGUAAUGUGUACGGUGAAGUUAACCUCAAUGUGAUGUACCAAGGGCAUGUGAAAUCACAAGGAGAAAGUGCAGUAUUUACUGUGUGAGCAGCUAUUCCAGUCAAUGCCAUUCACAGCAUCCAAAGACAACAGAGGUGCUGGAUCACUGCCAGGCCCCAGGCAUUGAAGUCUUGCUUGCUGCAAUUCUCUUUGGCUAAGUUAGGCACAUACUAAAAUGGAUACAAGGAUCCCACAGCAAUUGCCUUGUAAGACACUUAAAGGCAACCGAUCACAAGGUGGACAAGGGAAAGCUUUCAAGAACCCUGAAAUUGAAUUUGGAGUCACUAAUACAGCUGGGGAAUGAUAGCGUGGAAUGUCUCAAGGUCGCUUGCAACAGAGAAAGGGGGCCUUAUUUCAAAGAAAUUGCCCUGUCUGCCAAGAUAAAAAUGAGACACACACAGCAAAGAGAAAAGAGCAGCUGCUACAGAGCACUACCAAGGGAGAGACUGCAAAACAAAUCAUCAGUGGGAAAGAGAAUGAGGAACACCAUGAAUUUCUUCCAUCACUGGACAAGAAGCGCUCUCUCCUCUAAUUCAUAGGAUAAAACGAAGGCUGGCUCCAAAUGGCCAUUUAAACCCAGCAGGGCCCUUUGCAAGAAUGGGAAAGAGAGGAGAUAACAUGAUUUUCUCCACUGUGUCAAGAUGCAAUGGCUACGUACACCUCCUGCAGCCGAAUCAUAAAGGAGGGAGUGUGCUUGCGACCACUUGGACCACAUGGUUCCCGCUGUCAGAAGGUACCCCCCAGAGACAUCAUUUUCCACUGCCUAUGGAUCAGACAUCCAGCAGAUUCCAGGAAGCACAAUGUUAAUAGACUGAAAUUGUCUUUGCUUCUAGAGGCAAAAGCGGUGACAGACAGGGCAAAGAUUUUCUCCUGUGCUUUCUUCUAGAACUUUUAUAGUUUUAGGUUUCACAUUGUGUAUGAUCCCCUUUAAUUUU